GAUGAACGCUAGCGGCAGGCUUAACACAUGCAAGUCGAGGGGUAUAGUUCUUCGGAAUUAGAGACCGGCGCACGGGUGCGUAACGCGUAUGCAAUCUACCUUUCACAGAGGGAUAGCCCCAGAGAAAUUUUGGAUUAAUACCUCAUAGUAUAGCAGUUUCGCAUGAAACCACUAUUAAAGUCACAACGGUGAAAGAUGAGCAUGCGUCCCAUUAGCUAGUUGGUAAGGUAACGGCUUACCAAGGCAACGAUGGGUAGGGGUCCUGAGAGGGAGAUCCCCCACACUGGUACUGAGACACGGACCAGACUCCCUACGGGAGGCAGCAGUGAGGAAUAUUGGUCAAUGGGCGCAAGCCCUGAACCAGCCAUGCCGCGUGCAGGAAGACGGUCCUAUGGAUUGUAAACUGCUUUAUACAGGAAGAACCUCCCACGUGUGGGAGCUUGACGGUACUGUAGGAAUAAGGAUCGGCUAACUCCGUAGCCCAGCAGCCGCGGUAA
rnacentral:rRNA from 1 species